AUUGAGCGCUGGCGGCAGGCCUAACACAUGCAAGUCGAACGGUAGCAGGAAGAAGCUUGUUUCUUUGCUGACGAGUGGCGGACGGGUGAGUAAUGUCUGGGAAACUGCCUGAUGGAGGGGGAUAACUACUGGAAACGGUAGCUAAUACCGCAUAACGUCGCAAGACCAAAGAGGGGGACCUUCGGGCCUCUUGCCAUCAGAUGUUCCCAGGUGGGAUUAGCUAGUAGGUGGGGUAACGGCUCACCUAGGCGACGAUCCCUAGCUGGUCUGGGAGGAUGACCAGCCACACUGGAACUGAGACACGGUCCAGACUCCUACGGGAGGCAGCAGUGGGGAAUAUUGCACAAUGGGCGCAAGCCUGAUGCAGCCAUGCCGCGUGUGUGAAGAAGGCCUUCGGGUUGUAAAGCACUUUCAGCGGGGAGGAAGGGGGAAUGGUUAAUAACCAUUGCCAUAGACGUUACCCGCAGAAGAAGCACCGGCUAACUCCGUGCCAGCAGCCGCCGUAA
rnacentral:rRNA from 1 species